AGAGUUUGAUCCUGGCUCAGAAUCAACGCUGGCGGCGCGCCUAACACAUGCAAGUCGAACGAGAAAGUGGAGCAAUCCAUGAGUACAGUGGCGUACGGGUGAGUAACACGUGGGUAAUCUACCUUUUAGUGAGGAAUAACCCUGGGAAACCGGGGCUAAUACCGCAUAAGCCUGCAAAGGGAAAGCAGCAAUGCGCCGAGAGAGGAGUCCGCGGCCGAUUAGCUUGUUGGUAGGGUAACGGCCUACCAAGGCAAUGAUCGGUAGCCGGCCUGAGAGGGCACACGGCCACACUGGCACUGAAACACGGGCCAGACUCCUACGGGAGGCAGCAGUGGGGAAUCUUGCACAAUGGGGGAAACCCUGAUGCAGCGACGCCGCGUGAGCGAUGAAGCCCUUCGGGGUGUAAAGCUCUUUCGGCAGGAACGAUAAUGACGGUACCUGCAGAAGAAGCUGCGGCUAACUACGUGCCAGCAGCCGCGGUAAUACGUAGGCAGCAAGCGUUGUUCGGAAUUACUGGGCGUAAAGAGUGUGUAGGCGGUUCUCUAAGUUCCGUGUGAAAUCUCCCGGCUUAACUGGGAGGGUGCGCGGGAAACUGGAGGGCUGGAGUAUGGGAGAGGAAAGCGGAAUUCCUGGUGUAGCGGUGAAAUGCGUAGAUAUCAGGAGGAACACCUGCGGUGUAGACAGCUUUCUGGACCAUCACUGACGCUGAGACACGAAAGCGUGGGUAGCAAACAGGAUUAGAUACCCUAGUAGUCC
rnacentral:rRNA from 1 species